rnacentral:rRNA from 1 species
GACGAACGCUGGCGGCGUGCCUAACACAUGCAAGUAGAACGCUGAAGCGAGUAUCUUGCUCUUCUCGGAUGAGUUGCGAACGGGUGAGUAACGCGUAGGUAACCUGCCUUGUAGCGGGGGAUAACUAUUGGAAACGAUAGCUACUACCGCAUAACACUGGAUGACACAUGUCGUUUAUUUGUAUGGGGCAAUUGCUCCACUACAACAGGUACCUGCGUUGUAUUAGCUAGUAGGUGAGGUAAUGGCUCACCUAGGUGACGAUAGAUAGACGACCUGAGAGGGUGGUCGGCCGCACUGGGAGUGAGACAGGGCCCAGGCGACUAGGGGAGGCAGCAGGAGGGAACCUUGGGCAAGGGGGGCGAACAUGACCGAGAAGGGCGGCGGGAGAGGAGAAGGUUGUCGGGUCGUAAAGCUCGGUUGUAGGUCAAGAACGGGUGUGAGAGUGGAAAGUUCACACUGUGACGGUAGCUUAGCAGGAAGGAACGGCUAACUACGUG